CUGAACAGGCGGGCCUCGAUCCCGC
rnacentral:tRNA from 1 species